CCUACGGGAGACAGCAGUGAGGAAUAUUGGUCAAUGGACGCAAGUCUGAACCAGCCAUGCCGCGUGCAGGAAGACGGCUCUAUGAGUUGUAAACUGCUUUUGUACGAGGGUAAACGCAGAUACGCGUAUCUGUCUGAAAGUAUCGUACGAAUAAGGAUCGGCUAACUCCGUGCCAGCCGCCGCGGUAAUACGGAGGAUUCAAGCGUUAUCCGGAUUUAUUGGGUUUAAAGGGUGCGUAGGCGGUCGGAUAAGUUAGAGGUGAAAUCCCGAGGCUCAACUUCGGAAUUGCCUCUGAUACUGUUCGGCUAGAGAGUAGUUGCGGUAGGCGGAAUGUAUGGUGUAGCGGUGAAAUGCUUAGAGAUCAUACAGAACACCGAUUGCGAAGGCAGCUUACCAAGCUACUUCUGACGUUGAGGCACGAAAGCGUGGGGAGCAAACAGGAUUAGAUACCCCAGUAGUC
rnacentral:rRNA from 1 species